AACUACUUAGUAUUUUAGAUACAUUUGUUUUGAAAACUUAAAAAGAUUAGCCUCAGUAGUUU
rnacentral:tRNA from 1 species